AUAGGAAAAGUGCCUCACGCAUCAGAAGUAUAGAAGAUUACCUCACUAUUGCCGUCGUAGCUGGAUGUUGCUAUGAGAUCUAUGUGAGAGCUGUUACGCGGGAAGAAGCUCGUAAAUCCAAGUAAAGUGGUUGAUGCUGAAUAUUUAUGAAAAAAGAGUGUUAAUAAUUGAUCACUAGGCACUGGGUUGGCUUUUCAUUUCAAGAAAAAUAAUCUCUGUGUAUAUGCAUAAAAAUGUCAUGGAUUUAGAAAACUUAUCCUUAUCCAUUACUCUGUCUACUGAUAUCUUGUACUUGUUACUCUUUCCUUCUUAUUAUUGAUAGAUGCGUAGUCGUUGAUUGACUUUUUGACGCA